CCCUUAGAUGUCCUGGGCUGCACGCGCACUACACUGACACAUUCAGCGAGUGUUCCUUGUCCGGUGGCAUUGGGUACUCUUCUUAACGUGUGUCGUGAUGGGGAUAGAUUAUUGCAAUUAUUAAUCUUCAACGAGGAAUUCCUAGUAAGUGCAAGUCAUCAGCUUGCGCUGAUUACGUCCCUGCCCUUUGUACACACCGCCCGUCGCACCUACCGAUUGGAUGGUCCGGUGAAGCCUCGGGAUUGUGGUUCUUGCCGCUUUAUUGUGGCGUGACCGCGAGAACUUGUCUAAACCUUAUCAUCUAGAGGAAGGUGAAGUCGUAACA
rnacentral:rRNA from 1 species